CCCAAGGCGAUGGGCGGACUGAAUGCGACCGUACAAUUGCUCUCACCAUGUAGAGAAAGCCUUACAGAU
rnacentral:snoRNA from 2 species